GCGGACGUGGUGUAUGGGACACGCAUGUCUGAAUUGGUGGCGAUUCAUGUAGCCCAGUCAACAGUUGGACGGGGUUCGAUUCCCCGCGUCCGCG